rnacentral:rRNA from 1 species
UACGAAGGGUGCAAACGUUGCUCGGAAUUAUUGGGCGUAAAGCGCACGUAGGCGGCAUUGCAAGUCCCAUGUGAAAUCCCACGGCUUAACCGUGGAAGUGCAUGGGAAACUGCAGUGCUUGAGUACUUAAGAGGAUCGCGGAAUUCCCGGUGUAGAGGUGAAAUUCGUAGAUAUCCGGAGGAACCCCAGAGGCGAAGGCGGCGCCCUGGCUCGCAACUGACGCUCAGACACGACAGCAUGGGGAGCGAACGGG